rnacentral:tRNA from 2 species
GAGCGAUUAGCUCAGCUGGUAGAGCGCUACAUUGACAUUGUAGAGGUCACAGGUUCAAGUCCUGUAUCGCUCA